GUAGCCUAGUGGUUAGAGGAGAGGCAGCUAGCCUAGUGGUUAGAGGGGGCAGGUAGCCUAGUGGUUAGAGGGGAGGCAGGUAGCCUAGUGGUUAGAGGGGAGGCAGGUAGCCUAGUGGUUAGAGGGGAGGCAGGUAGCCUAGUGGUUAGAGGAGGCAGGUAGCCUAGUGGUUAGAGGAGGCAGGUAGCCUAGUGGUUAGAGGAGGCAGGUAGCCUAGUGGUUAGAGGGGCGGCAGGUAGCCUAGUGGUUAGAGGGGAGGCAGGUAGCCUAGUGGUUAGAGGGGAGGCAGGUAGCCUAGUGGUUAGAGGAGGCAGGUAGCCUAGUGGUUAGAGGAGGCAGGUAGCCUAGUGGUUAGAGGAGGCAGGUAGCCUAGUGGUUAGAGGGGAGGCAGGUAGCCUAGUGGUUAGAGGGGAGGCAGGUAGCCUAGUGGUUAGAGGGGAGGCAGCUAGCCUAGUGGUUAGAGGGGAGGCAGCUAGCCUAGUGGUUAGAGGGGAGGCAGCUAGCCUAGUGGUUAGAGGGGAGGCAGCUAGCCUAGUGGUUAGAGGGGAGGCAGGUAGCCUAGUGGUUAGAGGGGAGGCAGGUAGCCUAGUGGUUAGAGGGGA
rnacentral:lncRNA from 1 species